rnacentral:rRNA from 1 species
ACCAUCCUCCAAGGCUAAAUACUCCUGACUGACCGAUAGUGAACCAGUACCGUGAGGGAAAGGCGAAAAGAACCCCGGCGAGGGGAGUGAAAAAGAACCUGAAACCGUGUACGUACAAGCAGUGGGAGCACGCUUAGGCGUGUGACUGCGUACCUUUUGUAUAAUGGGUCAGCGACUUAUAUUCUGUAGCAAGGUUAACCGAAUAGGGGAGCCGAAGGGAAACCGAGUCUUAACUGGGCGUUAAGUUGCAGGGUAUAGACCCGAAACCCGGUGAUCUAGCCAUGGGCAGGUUGAAGGUUGGGUAACACUAACUGGAGGACCGAACCGACUAAUGUUGAAAAAUUAGCGGAUGACUUGUGGCUGGGGGUGAAAGGCCAAUCAAACCGGGAGAUAGCUGGUUCUCCCCGAAAGCUAUUUAGGUAGCGCCUCGUGAAUUCAUCUCCGGGGGUAGAGCACUGUUUCGGCAAGGGGGUCAUCCCGACUUACCAACCCGAUGCAAACUGCGAAUACCGGAGAAUGUUAUCACGGGAGACACACGGCGGGUGCUAACGUCCGUCGUGAAGAGGGAAACAACCCAGACCGCCAGCUAAGGUCCCAAAGUCAUGGUUAAGUGGGAAACGAUGUGGGAAGGCCCAGACAGCCAGGAUGUUGGCUUAGAAGCAGCCAUCAUUUAAAGAAAGCGUAAUAGCUCACUGGUCGAGUCGGCCUGCGCGGAAGAUGUAACGGGGCUAAACCAUGCACCGAAGCUGCGGCAGCGACGCUGAUGCGUUGUUGGGUAGGGGAGCG